AUUGAACGCUGGCGGCAUGCCUUACACAUGCAAGUCGAACGGCAGCACGGGAGCAAUCCUGGUGGCGAGUGGCGAACGGGUGAGUAAAGUAUCGGAACGUGCCCAGUCGUGGGGGAUAACGUAGCGAAAGUUACGCUAAUACCGCAUACGAUCUAUGGAUGAAAGCGGGGGAUCGCAAGACCUCGCGCGAUUGGAGCGGCCGAUAUCAGAUUAGGUAGUUGGUGGGGUAAAGGCUCACCAAGCCGACGAUCUGUAGCUGGUCUGAGAGGACGAACAGCCACACGGGGACUGAGACACGGCCCAGACUCCUACGGGAGGCAGCAGUGGGGAAUUUUGGACAAUGGGCGAAAGCCGGAUCCAGCCAUGCCGCGUGCAGGAUGAAGGCCUUCGGGUUGUAAACUGCUUUUGUACGGAACGAAAAGGUUUGGCCUAAUAAGCUGAGCUCAUGACGGUACCGUAAGAAUAAGCACCGGCUAACUACGUGCCAGCCGCCGCCGUAA
rnacentral:rRNA from 1 species